rnacentral:rRNA from 1 species
GUUGACCUCGGAUCAGGUAGGAAUACCCGCUGAACUUAAGCAUAUCAAUAAGCGGAGGAAAAGAAACCAACAGGGAUUGCCUCAGUAACGGCGAGUGAAGCGGCAACAGCUCAAAUUUGAAAUCUGGCCUCACGGUCCGAGUUGUAAUUUGUAGAGGAUGUUUUGGGCACCGCUCCGGGUUAAAUUUCUUGGAACAGAAUGUCAAAGAGGGUGAGAGUCCCGUCUUGGCCCGCGGUAGGACCUAUGUAAAACUCCUUCGACGAGUCGACUUGUUUGGGAAUGCAGGUCAAAAUGGGUGGUAAAUUUCAUCUAAAGCUAAAUAUUGGCCAGAGACCGAUAGCGCACAAGUAGAGUGAUCGAAAGAUGAAAAGCACUUUGAAAAGAGAGUUAAACAGUAUGUGAAAUUGUUGAAAGGGAAGCGCUGGCAACCAGACUCGAGCGCGGUGUUCCCCCUUGCUUCUGCCUGGGUUAUUUCACCGUGACCGGGCCAUCAUCAGUUUUGGGGGUUGGUUAAAGAUUUGGGGAAUGUAUCCUCUCCUCCGGGGGAGGACUUAUAGCCCCGGAUGUCAUGCAGCCUCCCGGGACUGAGGAACGCGCUUCGGCGAGGAUGAUGGCGUAAUGGUUGUCAGCGACCCGUCUUGAAACACGGACCAAGGAGUCUAACAUCUAUGCGAGUGUUCGGGUGUCAAACCCUUGCGCGGAAUGAAAGUGAACGGAGGUAGGAAGGCCUGAGCCUGCACUAUCGACCGAUCCUGAUGUCUCGGAUGGAUUUGAGUAAGAGCAUAGCUGUUGGGACCCGAAAGAUGGUGAACUAUGCGUGAAUAGGGUGAAGCCAGAGGAAACUCUGGUGGAGGCUCGCAGCGGUUCUGACGUGCAAAUCGAUCGUCAAAUUUGCGUAUAGGGGCGAAAGACUAAUCGAACCAUUGGUAAAUCACUACUAGGUGGUUAAGAGUCGUGUGUGAAAAGCACCGGCUAGUCGCGAGUCCGCGGCAAGGUCGUCAAAUUGCGGGAACACCCUAAAGCCUGAGGUACCGCCGACUGUCCCGAAAGGGCGUGAGGCACCACGGAGAGAUUUCGUGGGUACGGUAACAAUCCAAAGGAUGGCCUAGGUCAAGCCCUAGGCCGCUGUAAUGGGCAAUCCGCAGCCAAGCCUGUCCCUCCCUUCCGCAGGGGGGGGGAUUGGGUGCAGUUCAUCGACUAGAUGUCGACCGGGUUCCGGGCCCAUCGAAGCCUGGAGCCUCAAGAUAUAGUCAGGCCCUCGGGGAGACCCGAGCGGAGGAAUAAAGUAAAGGGGGUCGGACUCUUACAGCAGCCCGCUUUACCCGAAUCCCUCCCGGCCGGUCUGAUGAGAGACCG